rnacentral:sRNA from 1 species
AGAAGGGAGAGGGGAGCGACCCUGGGGACCGACUCUGGGGACCCCCGCCGAAGAGGUAGGAAACGGGGGACUGCACGUUCCUGAGGCCACUUCACACUUAUUGAGCAAAACGAGAAAAUAACUCUAAAAUCUGGACAUGAUACACAAAGUGACUGCCUAAAGGAGCUGAAGAGAGGACAUAAGUGGAUCGCCUCUGCUGUUGCAUGUUGGCUUGGAGAACAGAAGAUGAGGAGCCAAAUAAGCAAGUCCUUCAGCCCCAGGCUUCUAGCACGGGGCUGCAUGUAGGCUAUGCAUUCUGGGGAGUGAGGAGAUCAUGAAUGCUGAAAAUAAAUGAAGGAAUCCAGAAAAGCAAGAGUCAAAGAAGGCAUCUGCAGGCCAAAUCUCUGAUCAACCCCUGACCCACAUACACACAAAAUACACUCAAAGCAGCUCAGCUAAAGACAAAGAUCUGCACUCAGAGUAGAGCUGCCUCCCCAGAAACAGAGCUCGCAGUUCAGGCCCAGCAAGAAAAUUACCUGCAAAACACAGGAAAAACAACACUCAUCAGAGAAAAAGAACAGAAUCUGGAAUCU